GAUUGUCAAGUCACCAUUGCGGGUCUGCCAUCAGUGCAACGUUGAAAGACUUAGGAUCAAACCUUCAUGACAACUCUAAACUUAUCGGCGGCACCUUGGUUGCGGGAGCAGCAACCACCGCCGGUGCCUUUCUUUUGUGGAGGAAGGUCAUUCAGCCAUACGCCAUUCCUGCCUGGCAAAAAUGGCGGGAUGGGUCACGUGACAGUGUUCCUGGUGGCUAUAUUCCGGUAGGCGUCGGCUAUGA